rnacentral:ribozyme from 1 species
UAUGUUUGGGGCUCUGCUAAUAGGGUAGGAUCCGAGGCCCUGUAAAGGUUUACACAGGGUCACCUAUUUAACUCCUAUCCCAUCACGUAUCCGUCGUGCAGAGUGGUAACCUGCUCCAAGGUGGGGUAAGCGGGCCAGUUCCAAACCCUUGGGCGGAUAAUGAAGCACGGCUAAACAGGAGGGG